AUUGAACGCUGGCGGCAGGCUUAACACAUGCAAGUCGGGCGGGGGAAGGUAGCUUGCUACCGGACCUAGCGGCGGACGGGUGAGUAAUGCUUAGGAAUCUGCCUAUUAGUGGGGGACAACAUCUCGCAAGGGAUGCUAAUACCGCAUACGUCCUACGGGAAAAAGCAGGGGAUCUUCGGACCUUGCGCUAAUAGAUGAGCCUAAGUCGGAUUAGCUAGUUGGUGGGGUAAAGGCCUACCAAGGCGACGAUCUGUAGCGGGUCUGAGAGGAUAAACCGCCACACUGGGACUGAGACACGGCCCAGACUCCUACGGGAGGCAGCAGUGGGGAAUAUUGGACAAUGGGGGGAACCCUGAUCCAGCCAUGCCGCGUGUGUGAAGAAGGCCUUAUGGUUGUAAAGCACUUUAAGCGAGGAGGAGGCUAAUCUAGUUAAUACCUAGGGAUAGUGGACGUUACUCGCAGAAUAAGCACCGGCUAACUCUGUGCCAGCAGCCGCCGUAA
rnacentral:rRNA from 1 species